GAUGAACGCUAGCGGCAGGCCUAAUACAUGCAAGUCGAACGGUGUAGCAAUACACAGUGGCGCACGGGUGCGUAACACGUAUGCAACCUACCUUACAUUGGGGGAUAGCCUUUCGAAAGGGAGAUUAAUACCGCAUAAGACAGUAACUAGGCAUCUAGUAGCUGUUAAAGAUUUAUCGAUGUAAGCUGGGCAUGCGUCCAAUUAGUUAGUUGGCGAGGUAAUGGCUCACCAAGACGAUGAUUGGUAGGGGAACUGAGAGGUCAAUCCCCCAUACUGGCACUGAGAUACGGGCCAGACUCCUACGGGAGGCAGCAGUAGGGAAUAUUGGGCAAUGGGCGCAAGCCUGACCCAGCCAUGCCGCGUGCAGGAAGAAGGCGUUAUGCGUUGUAAACUGCUUUUAUACAGGAAGAAACGACCCUUGCGAGGGGCAUUGACGGUACUGUAUGAAUAAGCACCGGCUAACUCCGUGCCAGCCGCCGCCGUAAGAC
rnacentral:rRNA from 1 species